CUCUCUCUCUCUCUCUCUCUCUCUCUCUCUCUCACGUGUGCCACUGCUACAUAAACAGAAACACUUUAACUCUUUACUCAUCAACAUUUUUCAGACUUCCUGUGGGUUCUACUUGUAUGAAUUCUCUCAUUCAAUCAGGAAACAUUUGCUUAAUAGCUAUCGUGUGCCACUCAUAUCAGGUCUAACGAGCUAAGCAAUGAGUAUGAACAAUACUGAACAAAUCAGACACAAGCCAAGAUUUCUUAGCAAUUUUUACCCACAAUCUGCGCAUGGUGGAGCAUGCCUUUAAUCCUAGCACUCAGGAGGAAGGGACAGGUGAGUCUCAGUGGUUUCAAGGCCAGCCUGGUGGUCUACAUACCAAGUUCCGGGACAGCCAGAGCUAAUGGUAAGAACCUGUUCAAAAAAGUAACUGUAACCUACCAAAUUAUACAACUGAUUUCACAAUAAAAACUGCAUACACAUACACAUGUAUACACAUAACACCAAGUCAUCUACUUGUGGCAUAUUACUGCAAUUCAGCAAGAAAAGAAUCUGUCAAUAAAUGAUGGAGAAGCAAUUUUUUGUUUUUAUGUUUAAGUACAUGUAUGUAAUGAACAUGUAGGGUGUAUACAGGCACGAGUGCAAGUUGCAUGCAUCUCUGAGUAUUCAGGGAAAACAGAGGACAUCAGGUGUCCUGAUUUAUCACUGGCUGCCUUAUUUGAGAUGAGGUCUCUCAUUGGACCCUGAAGGCCAGCAACCAAUGGGCCAUGAUCCUUCCGUCUCUGUCCAUUACAGUGCUACGGUUAUAAAACAUACAGCUACACUAGUCUUUCAUGGAUGGUGUUGUACAUUGAACUUAGGUCCACCUACCUCUGCCUCCCAGGUGCUGGGAUUAAAUGUGUGCCACACACCCAGCUUCACCCAACUUCUGAAAUAAAAACCUCUCGUUCUAAAUGCUGUUCUUGGCCCUGAGCACUUUCCUUGACUCCACAUCCUGUCACGUUACUUUACCCUAAGUUAAACUAAACUAAUCUUUCUCUGAGCACUUCCUCCUACUGCUUACUAUCACUGGGUUCAUAUCAACUUUAGUAACCCCGACCACUGCAAACUCACGUUUUAAAACUCCAAAAUUAUGUCUUUUAUUCACCCCAACAGAACCUCUUAUUCCUGAGCUCAGAAUUGAGAACUCCAUUUUUCUAAUACCUCGCCUAUUUCACAGCAAGCCAUGACUGCAAUAUUAACUUCUCAAACUGUAUACUUGUCUUCAUCCCCACUUUCCCCAUGUCAUCAAAUCUACUCCAUCCCCCUCUUCUAGCACCUCACCCUCUCAACUAUAGCUUACCUGAUAUAUCAUUAACCAUCUUCCUCUCCACUGACCUUUCCUAGUCCCUUGCCAAUCAGUCUUCAUAGUCUUUUCUAACCCUGUUCCCCUACUCCAACUUGUGUAACAUUCCCUCCUCUCACCUUCUCAGCUUAUUCCUGUGGCCUACUUCCUCCCAUCACUUAGUUCCUUCAGCUUCUUGAAAUCUGCCUUCUGUUGCUAUCAGACCGCAUUCACCACGAAAAGUAACCUCUACUGGCAAAUCUCUCACAGGACUUCCUGUGAAAUACUACCAUCGCCCCCUCUCUUCCUAAACCUACUGUUAGUCCACCUACCUAAUAGCUUGCCAGUGUCUAUUCUCUCCAUUUUCAAAUCAUCUGACCUUGUUUUGUUUGGGGUUCUUUUGUUGUUUGGGUUUUUUUUGUUUUGUUUUGUUUUGUUUUGUGGUUUUGUUUUUGGGGUUUUUUGCUUUUGUUUUUUUGAUACAGGGUUUCUCUCUAAUGUAGGCGUAGCUGGCCUAGAGCUUGCUAUAUAGACCAGGCUGGCUUUGAAGUUACACGGUGGGGCUGGGAUUAAAGACAUGUUGCCACCAUACCUAACCCUUUACACUUUUUUUUUUUAAGAUUUUUAUUUAAUUUAUGUAUGUGAGUACACUGUUGUUAUCUUCAGACACACCAGAAGAGGGCAUCAUAUUCCAUUACAGAUGGUUGUGAGCCACCAUGUGGUUGCUGGGAAUUGAACUCAGGACCUCUGAAAGAGCAGCCAGUGCUCUUAACCGCUGAACCAUCUCUCCAGUCCCCUUUAUACUUUUUAUGGACAAUUCCACUCACUUCAACUUCCUUAAGUAUCGUCUGGGAAAAUAAUGCAGAUUCACCAUAGAGAGAAGGAGCUCAGUCCCUUGUCUGGAACAGGUAUAUACUUAGCAAGGCCAGUAUGGCCAGGGACUUGGAGGAGCUGCUGUUUUCCAGACACUGAGAACCCAACUUUUCCCUCCCAAAGCCAGUGGUCUGUGAUGCACUUGAGAUAUCUUGGGAUCUCUUUGUGAAAAUUUGUUUAUCUUCUUGCAGACAGACUGUCCCAUUAUGUGACAGUUUUCUGCUGACUCUGUGACAUUUUCCCCUGCAAGCUGUAUAUAAAAUGCUGUACUUCUUGAUAAACUUUCUUGGCAUAAGAAACAGCUUGCUCAAGACCUUCCGAUCCCUGCUUUCCUAUCUUAUCCUUCCAUCCCCUAAGGGUUACGCCCUUAGGACCUGGUCACUGAAGAACAACUUGCUGGUCCAAGUCACAUUAUACUUCUAAUACUGCAAAACAGGUAUCACCUGGACCAACUGAUGCAUGUUAGAAAAAUGUAUCAUGGGACACUAAUCCCUCAAGAUGGAACUGCAGAAGAAAUCAGGAAGCAUUCGGCUACAUUUUCAUUUGUUUAUUGGCGUCUGGGGGAGUCAUACAUAUUGCAGUACUCAUGUAGAGGUCAGAGGACAAUGCUCAGGAGUGGUCUGUGUCUCUCUGUCUGUCUCUGUCUCUGUCUCUCUCUCAGUACCAAGUGAAUUCUUGUGUCAGUUUCAGCAGGAGGCACCUUUGCCCAAUGAACCAUCUUAUCAGUCCUCACAGCCAAUUUCUUUCUUUCUGUUUAUGUUUUUAAUUGAAAUAGAAUUAUAUCAGUUUCUCCCUUUCCUCUCCUCCCUUCACCCCCUCUCUGGUACACUCUCUUGAAAGCCACUUUCUUCGUGAGCCACAAUACACAAGAGCACACAGAGAAUUUAGAAAUCCUGAAGGUAUUUUUGAUCUUUGGUUUUAAACUAGUUAUUUUUUAGCCAUGUAAUUUUUUUCCCAAAGUAGGGAUAAUUAACACAAAAUGGUAAUAAAGGACAUGAAUGCUAUAGAUGUUGUAUUUAGAGACCAGAUGCUUAAUUCUGACCCUGUUUCUAACACUAGUUUUUUAUAACAGAUGCUUAUGACUCUUAAAUCCCAGUUUAAUCCAUAAUCAAAAAUAGUAAGUCACUUGAAAGAAUUAAAGUUUGUCAGGCCAAGGGUGUAGAAGGUGCAGUCCACUAAUGUCAUCUUCAGACACUUGCAGACAAGAUCUCAGACUGAGCUGAGUCUGUCAGUACAUGAACAGGAAGACAGAGUGUUGGACCGCUGGUUUUGACGAGUAUAUGACUCUCAGGUGAUUCCCAACACCAACAUGGCAGCUCACAACUCUCAGUCCAGUUCCAAAGGAUCUGACAUCCUCUCCUGGUCACCACAGGCACCAGGAACACACAUGGCACACAUGUGGACAUGCAGGAAAAAUGCUCAUAGACACAAAAUAAAAAAUAUAAAUCAAAAUGAAAAUAUUUUAAGAAGGGAAUGGUGGCACAUGCCUUUAUUCUGAGAACCCAAGAGGCAAAGGCAGGCAGAUCUCUGAGUUUGAGACCAGCCUGUUCUACAAAACAAGUGCAGGACAGUACAUUUCUGUUAAUAUACAUAUGAAAAAUUAAAUAUACUAUUAAGCAAGUUCUUUAGUGUUCACAUUAUAUACUAUAGGUAUAUUGGGGUAAAAAGCUAGAAAACAGUAGAUUUCUGAAUGGAUCUGAUAACACAUUAUUCUGCAGAAAGGCCAUUUCUAAAGGAGAGUCAUGAGAAAAAAUUCUCUAAUGACAUGAUUACUUUUAUGAAUUUGAGGUCUUAAUCUCAAAACUCAUUCCAAAAGAUCUUUCCUAGAGGUAUCGCUAACAUAAAUACCUGUGUGUUUUCAGAUUAGCCAUUUUUUAUUCUCAGUGUUUUUUUUCUAAAAGUAUAUACAUUGGGCUGGAGAGAUGGCUCGGUGGUUAAGAGCACCAACUGCUCUUCCCAAGGUCCUGAGUUCAAAUCCCAGCAACCACAUGGUGGCUCACAACCAUCUGAAAUGAGAUCUGAUGCCCUCUUCUGGUGUGUCUGAAGAUAGCGACAAUGUAAUCAUAAUAUAUAAUAAAUAAAUAAAAUAUUUUAAAAGUAUAUCCAUCAAAUAAACUAUAAUAAGUGACUAUAACCAGGCAAAGGGGAAAGAUUUUGCCAAUGGAAAGAAAAGCCUUGAUAUAUCUUAUAUCUUGAUAUAACACACUAACAUAGGUAAAUGUAGUGAACCAAGAUGAAACAUGUUUAUUAAGAAGAAACUGUGCAUCUUAAACUGAGAUUAUGAUUAUGCCUAAAGCUCUACAUUUAAAAACUCUCAAAUGAUACUAAAUACUGGAUUUUUCUAGUAUGUCAAUUUUGCUUGACCCCAGGGAGCAGGAAUAGGAAAACAAAAACUCAUCUGUGGAGACAUGCAUACAAAAACACCUUUAUGUCUUGCAUAAAUAUAAUUUCAAAGGCAAAGAGCAGCUAGUAUCUUAAAAAUACUCAAGGGGGAAAAGCUAGGCACGGUGGCAACACAACUAUAAUCCUAGCACGGGCAAAGUCUGAGGCAGGAGACUCCCAAGCUCCAAAGCAGACUAAAUACAAAAAUACUAGUAAGAUCGAUUGCAUAUGAAGAGAUCGUGGGAUAUCAACUCUGCCAAACCAAGUCCUCAGAGAUCUGUGCUCAUGGCCAACGAUAAGAGCUUUAGACACACUGCCACUGGGCAUACCUAAAUAGAUUAGAAACUGCUGACACUAGUUCUACCAAAAUAAACAGUAUAAUGAUAAAUUUUAAAGUGAGAUGAGCUGAGUUGGUCGGUGGUGGUGCAAGCCUUUAACACCCAAUAUAUGGGAGGCAAAAGCAGGCAGAUCUCUGAGUUGGGAGGCCAGCCAGGUCUACAAAUAGAGUUUCAGGAUAGCCAGGGCUACACAGAGAAACUCUGUCUUGAAAAACCAGAGAGAGGGGAAAGGGGCUGGGCUGGGCUGGCCUGUAACCCCAGCAUUCAGAAGAGGGAAGCAGGGGGACUGCGAAUAUGACCCCAUCCUGGGUUACACAGGGAGACCCUUUCUCAAAAAAAGAAAGAAAAAGAAAAAAAGGGAAGGAAAACAAAACCAACUCAACGAAUGCAUCGAUGUUGUUUUAUGUACUAGACUGCAUGUCUACGCACACGGGAGUUGACUCGAGGACUUAAGAGGUGCACUGAACAGGAGCUGUGUAACAAUAACUUGUCGACUGGGCGGAGCUCUAUCUCAAUUUUACACAAAACUUAAGAGGUUCUUGAAUUUCAAGUCUUAAAACAAUUUCAAACAAAAAUGGGCUGAGAAUAAAAACAAAAAAGCCCGGCUUCAAAUCCUCUGACUUCCGAAUCACUUUUGGAAGAUGCUGGAGGCUGGAAAAGAAAAAUGCUAUUAAACGAGCCAGUCGGACGAGAAGGACAGCUGGAGUAUUUAUUUACUCGAGGAGCUGAGGGGACGAUCAACAAGCCCCGCCUUCCUCGCUUGCAGCCUCUCCGACCUGCCAAAGGAAGGAGGGAAGGCGGCCAGGCAAGGGGUCAAAGGAUCCGAGGAAAGUGACAUCUUGUGCAGGCACAGAACUGCAUAGCACCCGAAUAAACAAGAGUUGAGACUUGAAAGAGCACUGCGUUUUUGUGCCAACCAGCUGUGAUGAUUAAUCUGUCAACUUGAAUGGAUUUAGAAUCACCAUGGAAACACACUUCUGAAUGCAUCUCUGAAAGUGCUUUGAGAAAGCCUUAACUGAAAAGGCUCAGCCUUAACCCAAAUGUGGGUACUACAUUUCUAGGCUGGGGCCAGACUGAAUAGAGGGAGACAAUGAACUGAACACUGGAAUUCAUCUCUCUUCACUUUGUGACUGAGGCAAUGUGACCAGCUAGUCCAUUCCCCUGUCACUUCCCCACCAUGAUGGUCUAUACCUGUGGUUUGAAUGCUUGGCCACAGGGAGGGGCACUAUUAGGAGAUGAGGCCUUGUUGGCAGAAGUAUGUCACCGUGGAGGCAGGCUUUGAGAUCUUAAAUGCUCAAGCUAUGCCCAGUCUGGUUCUGCUGCCUGCAGAUCAAGAUAUAGAAAUCUCAGCACCUUCUCCAGCAGCACAUCUGCCUGAAGCCUGCCAUGCUUCCUGAAACGACACUAACGGACUGAGCCUCUGAAACUGGAAAAGAAGUAAAAGUGGGCUGGUGACAUUGCUCAGUGACUGGAGCCCAUUAGUGCAUAUCUACAAUGGUAGUGCUCCUACUGGAAAAUGGAUGGUAAAGACAAGUGGAUCUCCAGGGGCUGGCGGGCCUUCUAACCUAGUAUGUGUACCAGCAAGCAACAAAGACACCCCACCUCAACCAAUGCAGAAGGUAAGCAUCAGCCCUGAGGUUGUCCUCUGAUCUCCACACGUGUGUGUGUGCCCACUUGUAUGCACAUACUUACACACAUCACAUGUACACAGAGGUGGUGUUUCAAAACCCGUGAAACCAUCAGUUGUUCAUCUGUCCUGGCCAUUUGGCACGGGUUAGGACUGAAAGUAUUAGCUUGCUUCCUGGGCUGUCACAGGAGAAAGAAAUAUGGCUUCUUCAGCAUGCCAGGAUAUUUUUCUGGAUGUUAUAAAAGUUGAUAAUCUGGGCAGGCUGUAAAAGGUUUUCCUCCAUAUUUGUAUUCCUCCAACUCUCAACUUCUGGGAUUAAAGGCACGAGCUCUGAAUUACCCCAAGAUAAAAUCCACAGACCACAUGAAGCUCAAGAAGAAGGACGACCAAAGUGUGGAUGCUUCACUCCUUAAAAGGGGGAACAAAAUAUUCAUAGAAGGAGAUAUGGAGGCAAAGUUUGGAGCAGAGACUGAAGGAACGGCUAUUCAGAGCCUGCCCCACCUGGGGAUCCAGUCCUUAUAUAGACAGCCAUCAAAACUAGAUAAGAUUGAUGAAGCUAAGAAGUGCAUGCUGACAGGAGCCUGAUACAGCUGUCUCCUGAGAGGCACAGCCAGAGCGUGACAAAUACAGAGGCAAAUGCUAGCAACAAACCAUUGAAACAUUGGAUCCCUGUUGGAGGAAUUAGAGAAAGGAUUGAAAGAACUGAAGGGGCUUGCAACCCCAUAAGAACAAUAAUGUCGGGGUGGGGAUUUAGCUCAGUGGUAGAGCGCUUACCUAGGAAGCACAAGGCCCUGGGUUCGGUCCCCAGCUCCGAAAAAAAAAAAAAAAAACAAAAAAAAAAAAACCAAAAAAAAAAAAAAAAAGAACAAUAAUGUCAACCAACCAGAGCUCCCAGGGACUAAACCACUAUCCAAAGAGUACACAUGGACAGACCCAUGGCUCCGGAUGCAUAUGUAGAAGAGGAUGGCCUUACUGGGUACCAAAGGAAGGAGAAGUCCUUGGUCCUGCCAAGGCUAGACCCCCCCAGUGUAGGGGGAUAUGUGAGGGGGGUGGAGUUGGUUGGGAAGAGGAACACCCUUAUAGAAGAAGGGGUGGGGGAUGAGAUAGGAGCCUUAUGUCCGGGAAACAGGAAAAGAAUAAUAUUUGAAAUGUAAAUAAAAAAAGAC